CUGCAGUAGAUAUCUCAGAUAGGGGGGAGUGAACAGGUGUUGUAUGUGGAGGAUGAGGGCUGCAGUAGAUAUCUCAGAUAGGGGGGAGUGAACAGGUGUUGUAUGUGGAGGAUGAGGGCUGCAGUAGAUAUCUCAGAUAGGGGGGAGUGAACAGGUGUUGUAUGUGGAGGAUGAGGGCUGCAGUAGAUAUCUCAGAUAGGGGGGAGUGAACAGGUGUUGUAUGUGGAGGAUGAGGGCUGCAGUAGAUAUCUUAGAUAGGGGGGAGUGAACAGGUGUUGUAUGUGGAGGAUGAG